UAUUGGCAGAUAUUGUUGGUUUUUCUGCUAUAAUAGCGCAGCAAUGUGGGGCGGUAUUUUCCUUUGUCAAUUUACACUUUGCAACAUUCCAACUACAUAUGGAUGAAUUUGAAUCUUAGGGCUUUGAGUCUCUAGGAGUUUACUGCAAAUUUAAAAUCUUGAUACACAUCCCCAGUAAUGGUAUAUCAUCCCGCAAUAUAUCCAUGGUAAUGGUUAAUUAUCUCAAUAUACAUCCUCUGGUAAUGGCUGUUCAUCUUAUUAUUCAACUGUUAAAUGAUUCUCAUAUCAAUAAAACCCAAAUUCCAUACCAGUAUAAAUUUUAGUUUUGCAAAGUAAUGAUGCAAAAUUGUGCCUUUGGCAUAGUUUUUGAGCAAGUAAAGGAGACUGACAACUUAUGUUCUUUUCAUACAAUGGUCAAAAUAUGUUGGGAGUAUUUCAUUCUCUUCCUUUUUUGCUUAAAUUAUUAGUUAGCCUACAUUUGAUGCUACCAUAUCAGCUGUUGAGAAGAUGUUAUGGUUUUCUUAAUUUGGGCUGAAAUACAUCAGUUUUUCUGCAACUAUUGCUGGUGGUGAUGCAUCUCAUGAUAAGAGCUGUGUGAUUUAAAGGUUCGACUGGUUACUGAUACUGAGUCAAAUAAGCCCAAGGGUUAUUUAUGCAUUCAUUGAAUACCUGCACACAAGAGACACUAAAGCUGCUUUAUAAGCAAGCUGAUGGUAGGAAAAUUGAGAGUAGAAGGGUUGUGGGCUAGGUACUACUAGAGUAGGGGGCGAAGAAGUUGCUACAUUCGUGGAGG